AUGGAAUCAACAGCGGAAGAUUUCCAGCCCCGAACAUUCUCCGUCAAACUGUGGCCACCGAGUGAAAGCACUCGUCUGAUGCUUGUAGAGAGGAUGACCAAGAACCUGUCCGCCGAGUGCAUCUUCUCUCGCAAGUAUGGCAUUUUGAGCAAAGAAGAGGCUCAUGAGAAUGCUAAGAGGAUCGAAGAGGUGUGCUUUGCUUCUGCAGAGGAGCAUUUCAAGAAGGAGCCUGAUGGUGAUGGUAGUUCUGCUGUCCAGCUAUAUGCAAAAGAAACUAGCAAGCUGAUGCUUGAAGUCCUGAAAAAAGGCCCAAGGACAACCGAGGAACCAGAAGCACCUGUUGUUGAUACACCUCUUGAGCCUGCUGAUACUGUGUUUGACAUAUCUGGUGGUAAGCGCGCUUUCAUUGAGGCAGAAGAAGCAAAGGAACUUCUCAGUCCACUGACAAAACCAGGAAACUCUUAUAAAAGGAUUUGUUUCAGCAACAGGAGCUUUGGUAUUGGUGCUGCCAAUGUUGCUGGCCCAAUUCUUGAAUCAAUAAAAUCGCAGCUCACAGAGGUAGAUAUCUCAGAUUUUGUCGCUGGAAGACCCGAGGACGAAGCCCUUGAUGUGAUGCGCAUAUUCUCCAAAGCUUUAGCAGGGUCUGUACUGAGUUACCUGAACAUCUCUGACAAUGCUUUAGGUGAGAAGGGUGUCAGAGCAUUCACAGAGCUGCUGAAAUCACAGGGCAACUUGGAAGAGCUAUAUGUGAUGAACGAUGGCAUAUCAGGGGAAGCUGCAAAAGCUCUAUCUGAGCUUAUUCCUUCAACUGAGAAGCUUAAGGUUCUCCACUUCCACAACAAUAUGACUGGUGAUGAAGGUGCUAUGCCAAUUGCUGAGAUGGUGAAGCGUUCUCCAAACCUAGAGAGCUUCAGGUGCUCCGCGACAAGGAUAGGAUCUGAUGGUGGAGUGGCACUGGCUGAGGCAUUAGGGACAUGUACUCGUCUGAAGAAACUUGAUAUCAGGGACAACUUAUUUGGUGUGGAGGCAGGGGUAGCUCUCAGCAAAACCCUUCCAAAGCUCAGUGGCCUCGUUGAGCUCUAUCUCAGUGACCUCAAUCUUGAGAACGAGGGUACAAUAGCAAUAGUGAAUGUCCUCAAACAGUCAGCACCUCAGUUGGAGGUCCUUGAAAUGGCAGGAAAUGAAAUAACCGCCAAAGCAGCCAAAGCUGUAGCAGAAUGCUUGACAGCAAUGCAGUCGCUCAAGAAGCUGACCUUAGCUGAGAAUGAGCUGAAGGAUGAUGGGGCAGUGACAAUCGCAAAAUCUCUGGAGGAAGGCCACCCAAGUCUGAAGGAGCUUGACGUGAGCACGAAUCUGUUUCAGAGGUCUGGAGCCCGGUGCUUUGCUCAAGCUGUCGCAAACAAGCCAGGUUUCGCGCUGCUGAACAUCAAUUCGAAUUUCAUCUCCGACGAAGGGGUUGACGAGGUGAAGGAGAUCCUGAAGGGAGGCAAGAACUCGCUGGAGGUGCUUGGCCUGCUGGAUGAGAACGACCCCGAGGGCGACCCUGAAGAUGGCGAGGAAGAGGAGGAUGGGGAGGACGACGAUGACGAGGAGAAGGACGGCGACGACGGUGGCCUGGGCUCGAAGCUGCAGGGCCUGAAGGUGGAGGAGGACUAG
rnacentral:rRNA from 1 species